CACUGAAAAUGGGUGGGCAACGGAGGCCUGGCCUCACCAUGCAUUGUGUCCAGGGCUGAAAGAUUGACAUUUUGUUCGUCCAAUCACAUGCUACUGGUUCAUUUGGAAUCAAUCCUUUCCUUUCCUAAUCAACACAGAAGCCAUUUUGAGAAUUGAAAGGACCCGGCACAUCACAGCAAAAGACGCAGACAAGGUAACGAGGACCCAAGAGAAGUUUACAAGCGACUUUACGACUCCAUCCAUGUAAGCGUUAAAAAUCAGAUUGAGCAGAGGUUUCAAAAUCUUGAAUGUAUGAGGUUUAUGGAGCUUCUAGAUUUUGACCUAUAUGACUCCUACAAAAAAGAGUUUCCACAGGCAGCAUUCACAAGUCUGAAAGAUAACUAUGGUCAUUUAUUCGAUAUGGUAAAACUGAAGUCAGAACUGCAGGUGUUUUACAAUAACAAGGACCUCCAGGGCAGCGCUAGGUUGUGUGAUUCACUGUGCGCAAUGAAAACCAAUGAACUGAGCGAAGCAAUGCCUGAACUGUACAGACUAAUGUGUCUCGUUGCCUCUAUCGGGGCUACGUCUGCCGGGGUGGAGAGAAGUUUCUCUUGUCUGAAAAGACUGAAAACGUAUGCAAGGAACACAAUCGGACAAGAUCGACUGAGGAGCUUGGCUAUCAUCGCACUUGAAAGAAGGAUUCUAAAAUCUCUUAGAGAGAAUCCACAGUGGUAUGAAAAGACCAUAGACAUCUUUGCAGCACAAACAAACAGGAGAAUGGACUUUACUUUUAAGUAGGCCUAAAUUAUUUUUCUAGGCCUAGGCUAUAUUUCAUUUUCUUUUGUACUUUUUUUUUAAUUGUUGAAGGGAAACAAAAAGCAGAGACAAGACCGUUUUUGCAAUCAACGUUACAGUUUUUUUUUAAUCUGGGGAUGGAUGGCUGAGUUGGACACGUUCUGGAUCCACACGACCUUAGAUGAAGCCAGCUGCAACCCGUAGAGUGGAGUCGUGGAGAGAGCCCCUCGCCCCUCAGCUAAACCAGAGUAAAUGAAGCCAGCACCAACCUGUGGAGUGGAGUCCAGGAGAGAGCAUGCCGCCCCUCAGCUAAACCAGAUCAGAUAAAGCCAACUGGAACCAUAUUUUUACAUAUUUUAUAUUAAAUAUAUUGAAUAAAACUACAU